rnacentral:lncRNA from 1 species
GAAACAGCAGAGAAAUUGGAACUGCGGAGAGAUGUAGGAGCUGAAAAGACAUCAGAAACCAAAUCUACGGCCUCUCUCGAAGUCAUGUUCCUGUCGUGGCAUUCUGUCUUUCGCAUAAAGUGAAACCUUAAACAACAAACCUUGACAAUUUUAUUCGGGAUCAGACACUUUAGGAUUGGACAAGAGCAGCUUGAGAUGAGAAAGUAUGAGUCCAAAUUGGAGAAGAAUUAAAA